UACGUAGGGUGCAAGCGUUAUCCGGAAUUAUUGGGCGUAAAGAACUCGUAGGCGGUUUGUCGCGUCUGCUGUGAAAACUGGAGGCUCAACCUCCAGCCUGCAGUGGGUACGGGCAAACUAGAGUGCGGUAGGGGAGAACGGAAUUCCUGGUGUAGCGGUGAAAUGCGCAGAUAUCAGGAGGAACACCGGUGGCGAAGGCGGGACUCUGGGCCGAUACUGACGCUGAGGAGCGAAAGCGUGGGGAGCAAACAGG
rnacentral:rRNA from 1 species